GGACGUUUCAUUAGUAUAUUAGGUAAAUUCUCCCUGAUCCCUCCCUGGUGUUUUUUGCAUUCCAAAGCUAUUUCUCUAAAAAUAUUUUUUUUACUGUCUUUACAAUACAAAAUAUAACUUUGCUUCUUGACAUGACAUAGCACUUAGAUUGUGAUAGAAAUUCUUUUCCAAAGAACUCCAACAUAAUCCAUAUUCUUGUAGCCAUUACUCUGCUGGAGUGCUGAGGCCACACCCUUACUGGCCUUCAUCUGAUUCAUAGUGAAGAAGAGGUUCAGGGUUUUAACACAAAAGUCUUCCUUUAAUUCAGAUUGUACUUCAUCUAGUCAUCAUUUUAAAAAUCAAAAUGAAGAAAAUUAUAGAUAUUCUCCACUCCAUUCUCUUUUUCGAAAUGAGAAAACUGAAAAUUAGAGAGACAAACUUAAAAAAGUUACAGAUCCAUGACUUGACCCCAGAUCUUAGAGUUCUGAUAAAGAAUUGUUUCACCCAAUUUCAGUUAGCCAUUUGGACAAAUGCAUGAGUUUUAUAUACAUUUAGAAAUAACAUGUUACUGAGAGAUAACAAUUAAAAAACAAACAAACCACAUACUGGGAUUUUUUCAUUGAAAGGAAGAGGGGGUUGUCUUUUCAUAAUCUCACCUUGGGAAGAUAUUUAAAAGAAUGUACCCCAGUACUCCAAGGAUUAUAAAUAUUUUUGAGCAACAGAAAUAUUUUUGGAAUAGGUAUUAUAUAACACAUUCUUCAAAAUGGAUAGCAGAUGCAUAAUUUAUGUUUAUUAAAAUAUUUGUUUUGGUGCCUUUUAGUAACUAAGGGGGAAAUGUCAAAUCAAAGGUGAUUCAUAAGAACAUCAAAGAAUGGCUAACCUAUUUGUCUAUUCUCUUAUCUAUGCAAAAAUCUCUUGAGAGUGCUCUCUACAUGAAUUGAGGGCAUUAGUAAAGAAUAAGUAGAUUUUCUUUCCCAAGCAGUGUUCAAUAAUGGAUCAUGUCUUUGCCAUCUCACAGUUAACUGAAGGAUAGAAAAAAAUAUAAAUUCCCAUUGUGCUUUUUAGUUGAUUGUGAAAAACCUUUCAGUUCAGUAGAACAAAUUCACACCACUUUACAGACUCCAAGGCAGCAAGAUUUCUUCUAUCCAUAUAACAAGUCCAUGUCAGGAUUCCUUGGAAGAUGUCACAGCAGAAAUCAAUUCAAAGAUCUAAUGAUAAUAAACAUCAGUUAUAGCAUAAAAUAGAGAUGCAAAUACCUUUUCUUAAAGGUCUUUGCCUCUGAUGGAGAUCCAGUGCAGAAGCCAGUUCAAGAUAAUAAUUCCCUAGGAGCGAUGAGAUUUCCCCAAUUACUACUUCUUUGGCAGUUAUCACUCACCUAAGUGCAUCAAGGCCCAACUAAGACAUGACAGGGCGUCCUAGAAGAUACCAUAAUUACUCAAAGGUGUUUUUCCUGACUGUUGGCAUAAGAGAGACUGAGGGAGUGAAGAUUGUUUAUUGCCCAGAUUUCAACAUGGGUUUGGAAGGCAAGGCCUGCCCUUAGAUGGCAGCCAGUUGGAUCCAGAACUGAACAACAGCCAUCUUAGGAGGAAGAGAAAAGCAAAGAAUUGCUUUCAGGAAUCUGUAAAGCACUUUUCUUUUUACUGAUCCUGAAGCUUUCCAAUGAAAGUAAAUUCUAUUUCUUUAAGACUAGCAUUCAGUCUGUAUUUUUGUAUGGCAGCCAGAGCUGGCAUCCCCUAUCACUGAAGAAGGAAAGACAAGGUUUGUACAGAGAGCAAUAGGAGGGUCAUGAUUAGAGUAAAGAAGCAUAACCAGGGAGGAUCUCCAAGAGCCAGAAUGAAGUGAUCCUGGGACAAGAAGAGAAGGUGGACCAGCCAAGGAGCCAAAGGGCUACCAGUAUGUUGAGUGGGCAGAUCCUGUGUAGCCCAUUUUGAAUUUGGACAAAGGUAGACAGGAUAGACAGCCAUGUUUGAGUUUGGGUCUGCAUCGUUGGAGGGAACAUUCACAUAAUGAGUUCCCUGAUCUAUAUGAGUUCUUGUGAAAAAUGUUUAACCUCCUAUAGCAUCUUUAUAAAGCUAACUCUGAGGAAAGUCAGGGACAAAAGGACCUCUAUAUAUCAAAAUAAUCCACAACUGGAUUCUGGUAGCCAAAAAAACUAAGCAAAAUUCUGGAAACAGGUACUCAUUGGGGGAAUGGCCAAAACAAACUGGGUUAUGUGAAUUAAUAGAAUAUCAUUCAUUAAUACAAUUGUUUUCUCCACAGUGCCCUUAUUAGAAUGCAGAAGUGGCCUCAGUCUUGAAGGAAAGGCCCUGGAGAUUGUCCAUUGCCUUUCACAAACUAAUUGUACCGCUAUACUUGAAAAAAUGAGUUAAUGAAUACCUGUGGAGGUAGAGAGCAUUGUAGGGAAGCAUAACUGCAUUGAGUCCUGGGUAGAGAGGGAACAAACCACUUGAAUUAAAGCCUUCCUCAUCUGUCACUUUGAUGCCUGUCCCAGCCUCUCUUCCUCUGCCUCAAGAUUCUUUCUUUUCUAGUCUAACCUCUCUAGAGAUGCCAAAAAUCAGACUAUGCCAUCCCUGUGCCUAAGUAAACUCCAUUGAUUCCUUGUCAUUUCUUGGAAAGCCUUCCCAACCUGGCCUUCAUUUCUCUCUCUAGCCUCCUUGAACGUUAUUCUCUUCCCAUACUUGGCUGCCUCCCACUCUGCCUCUUUUUUGUAUGCCUUUGCCAUGACUAUCUUACAUGCCUAGAAUGCAUUUCCUGCUUACCUCAGCCUCACAAAAUCACUCUUCCUUCAAAACGUGGUUCAAAUUUACUGUUUACUUGAAGCCUUUCCAGAUUCCCCCAAUUUGCUAGUGACCACCACCACCCCCAACCCACCCUGGGCUUAUUUUUCUUGUUCUCUUAUUUGACAUAGCUUUACAUGUACUUUACUGUCACAAGAUUGGAGUGCAAACUUCAUUCUUUGUAUCCUCAGUGCCUGGCACAUAAGUAGAGAUAACGUAUGCUUUUUGAUUAUUCCCAUGGUCCAAGGAGAGAGGAGGCCCAAGUUCUUCUAUAGGUACCCCCCCCAUAUCCUUGCCCCAAAACAGGUGGAAGGGGAGUCAUUAGAACUUUUGCAAGGCUGGUGAGCAUUUUAUCCUAUUUUGUCAUAAACCAGACCCAUUCAUUUGUUUUGAACAAAAAGUGUAAUGUAAAAGAAAAUAGGAAAUCAAAUAUGAAUAGAAUUAUAGCCAUUUUUAGUUGCUGACCUCAGCUUAAAGGCUCAGGAGAAAAGGCAGUUUUAAGGGAAAGGUUCUAAUGAGCCUUGGGUGUGUUUAGAACCCUCUAGGAACCUGCAAUCUGGAUUCUGUACUAAAACAUGGGGCAAAUGCUUCAUCCCCAUGACUCUUAUUGGCACCAUUAGGAUACACUACCAACAAUAGAAGCCGGAAUUCCUGUUGUGCCCUGGCCCCAGAGUUGGAAAGCACAGCCUGCACCUGAAUUCCUACAUGCAGCCUCCUUGUCAAGGAUCAUCAGCACUUUAUUCUAGAAGUAGCUCUGACUCAGGGAAGUUUUUCUUUCCCUCAAGCUUCUGUUUGCUUCUGCCACUCCCCUUUCAUUGCUCCUCAUUCUUCCCUGGGUGGGGGGGAUGGGGGAGCUGGUGGGGGGGAGGAGGGGGGCAGGCCUUCAGAUUCUUGAAACAUUUCUCAUGUUCUGUUAAGACAUCCACAGUUGCUUUAGCUCAUUGUCCUAUGAUCUCAAAGCCCUUUGCUGUUCUGGCCCCCAACCUCCAGGUGAUUUCUAGCUCAUUCCCAGUCAUAAUUUUGGUGUCCAGAACUGAACAUCUCUUUGAUGUGAUCUGCCCUGGUCAGUCUAGUGGGACUCACUUCCUUCAUCUUAGAGAGGAAUGGUCUUUUGUCUGCUUGUCCCAUCAUUAACCUGUACUGAACUUUCAGACUUCGCUGACACCCUAGUGUUGGAGCAGCAUCCCAGGGAAGUUGGAGCAGGGCUUCUUGGGUUGGUGUGCUGGGUGUUGAUGGAAGAAAAUAAAUAGUAACACUAUUUUCUCUUUAACAUUUUAAAUAUUAAAUGAUUGAUUUCUCUAUCAGAAAUGCUUAAUUAACAUGCCUCUUUACCAUUAUGAUAUAAAGCUUAGAAGCAUGGAGGCAACCUCAAAGAUUGGCUAUGCUCCUCAUUUCACAGGUGAGGAAGUGGGGACUUCAAGUUUGGAAUGAACUGGCCCUGACCUAUAAGUAGUGACUACCUGAAAGUUGGGCCUGGAAAGACUUCCCACCUUCCCCAUACCACCUUUUUACAUACACUGCAUAUUGCAUGUCCCUUCCCACCCCCACUCUUGGACUUGGUGCCUUCUCUAACUAUACAGGACUCUCUAGGGCUGAAGAGUCUUUUACUCAGCCUGAUUAGGUCACGGACCUACAGUUAUCCUGGGUUACUGAGCUUGGAGAAACCUUGACUAGGUAGGAAGUCCAGAUGGGUCUUGUUUUCUGCCACUUUGGCCAUUACCUAGCCUCAGGAGGCUUUGAGGGAAGGGCUAGCUUAGUGUUCUUCAGUCAUUUAUUCUUUUAUUUCUGACCCUGCCUCUAUCUUAAGGCAGCAUUUGGGGGUCACACUGAAGUAAACAAUUGGAGUUUGACUUUGUUCUUAACCACUAAUAAGACCUAGGAUUGGCUUGUGUUUGAAACCUUUUGUGUCUGAACUGCAAAAAAAUGGGGCUUAGUAGCUUUUUUUGUUUGUUUUUUAAAACAGUGUAUUUGUUCCAAAUCCUUCUGUUUUCCUUUAAAAUGUUAUGUAGCAAUUUCAUUAUCAUCGUUUCCCUGGUAUCCAGUAUUUUACCAGAGAACCUGAAUUGUGGAAGCUUGAGGGGCAUGCAGUUAGAAGAAUUGGCAUGCAAUUAAAAACCUGCUCUUUCCUCCUUUUCAAGUCUUUGUUUUACAAAGAAGGAAAUCGGUGUGUUUGGAAAGCAGUUGUCAGAUUUCUGUGACUGGUUGGUCUCAUUUGUUAAAAAAGGUUGCCACAAAAGUAGCUUUUGCAAGAGGCCAACUAACCUAAAACUGUCCAGAUGUCCUCUACCUUCAGUCAGUCUUGCCUUUUAUGCCUGGGCAGCCCCAGGCUUCCUGGGCCUCCUGCUACUCUUUCAGGAUCACUUCUACCCCUCAAGCCAGGACACCAUGCAGGGACAACAGACAUGUGGGAGCAGCACCCUGCCAUUAAGGGAAUCCUUCCCAUUCCACACCUCACCGUAGAUGGCCAAUGUGCCUCCUUGUUAGUGGAAACAUUCCCUUCUCUGAGGUUGGAGUAUUGGCAGAGUGCUGGGCCUGCAGUCAGGAAGAUUCACCUUUCUAGAGUUCAAAUCUUGGGAGUUUAUGAAAGCCAAAAGCUCUGAUCUCAGAAUUGGCCCAUUUGUCUUGUGCAUGUUUAAACCACACAGCAUGUUCUUGGCUACCAACAGCAGAGAAAAAGGAAUGUUCCUUACUAUCUCUUUCUCCUCACUACCCAUUCUCUCCUUAAGUACAUGUACUUGGGCUCCUGUCUCCACUAAUACUGGAAUGGCUUUUUAUAAAGUUGCUUAUAAAAAGGCCAAUAGUCUUUUUUUCCUUCCUUAUAGAUUUAGUUCUUUGAGGGAGCUGAGAGGUCAGUUGAUUUAACCCCCAUCGUUUUACAGAGGGAGAGCCUGAGAUCCAGAGGCAGAAAGGCACUUUUCCAUUGUCAUAAUGACAGUGUAUCAAUGGCAAAACUAAGAUUAAGUAGGAAUUACUAACAUUUAUGUAGCACUUUAAGACUUAAUAAAGUGCUUCACAUGGAUUAUUUUAUUUGAGUUGAAAGAACCCUGGGCUUCUGACAACAGUCAGUAUUCUUUCUGCAGUACCAUAUUUUCUCUCUCUCUCUCUCUCUCCCCUUCUUCCCCCCUUUAACCCUUUACCUUACCAAUAAGAAGUUUCACUUAAGGCAGAAGAAUAAGGGCUCUUCAGUGGGGGUUAAGUGACUUGUCCAGGGUCACAUAGAUAGCAAGUGUCUGGGGCCAGAUUUGAACCCAGGAUCUCCUAUCUCAAGGCCUGUCUCUCUCUCCACUGAGCCACCUACCUACCCCCACACCAUACUCUCUCUUAAAGAUAUUUGUGUUUGUGAGUUAAAGCAUGCUAUGGCUUAGGGUGACUUAAGAGCUUUUAUAAUUUUGUUGUCAUUCUCUUUAUGGGCUAUGUUCCCUUACAGCAUAAUCAGUCUGAUCCUAGGACUCUCAGAUGUAAGGAUUAAAAUUAAUGGUUGGACUAGAUUUAAGAUAAUGUGGUUGCCAAAAUUAAUGGUUGGACCAGAUUUAAGAUAAUGUGGUUGCCAAAAUUAAUAUAUCUGAAGUCAAAUGACUUUUUAGCAGCGUUAUUUACAAAAUAGAAGGAAAGAGUAAAGUAGAGAAAUGAGAAAGAUGGAAGAGAAGGUAUCUAUCCUAUCACACUAGUUACUCUGAAUCAGGCAGGGCUUGUUAAAACUCCUCUGGCAAUUAAUCUUUUCUUUCUGGAAGUCAGGAAAGGAGUCAACCUUUUCACUCAUCCUUGUGGUAGUCUGAAGGAGAAAAUCCAAGAACUGUCUUAACAAAUGUAGUUCAAGUGCAAGAGUCUCAGCUCUUCCAUGAUCCAGAUUCAGGUCAAAGAAGGAGGCUCACAGAAGUUUUUGCCACUUUUAAAGACCCUUCUUUGUGUCACUUCCUGUGCCCUCCCCUACUUUACAGGGACCAAUUGCUGUCUAUAACUUUGCUUAGGAUGCCCAUGGGGGCAGUCAGUCAUUUCUGAGUUGUCACCUUCUUUAGCACUUGGGUUGUGAACCUCCCCCACUUAGUUGUUAAGUAGGAAUGUCUUCACUAUUGGAGGUGUAAACUCCUGUAGUAAGUAGUUUUUGAACUUCCCUUACUUUAGGGCUAAGUAUGGGUGUAUUCGCUUUUGUUGAUUAAUUCAAAAGUAGACAAAGGGAAAGUUAAUCCUAUCUUCACACAGAGCAUGUGUGCAUGUAUGCACAUACAAAGUCCUCAAAGCUAUUCUCCCCUUAAUUUUUCUUUCUCCAUCCAUCAAAGGAUUUUUUUUUAAUUUUUAUUUAAUUAGUCAAUUUAGAACAUUAUUCCUUGGUUACAAGAAUCAUAUUCUUUCCCUCCCCUCCCCCAUCCUUCCCAUAGCCAAAGCACAAUUUCACUGGGUUUUACAUGUAUUCUUGAUCAGAACCUAUUUCUAUGUUGUUGAUGUUUGCACUAGUAUGAUCAUUUAGAGUCUACAUCCCCAAUCAUAUCCCCUCGACCCAUGUGAUCAAGCAGUUGUUUUUCUUCUGUGUUUCUGCUCCCACAGUUCUUUCUCUGGAUGUGGAUAGCAUCUUUCUCAUAAGUCCCUCAGGAUUGUCCUGGGUCAUUGCAUUGCUGCUAGUAGAGAAGUUAAUUACAUUCUAUUGUGCCACAGUGUAUCAGUCUCUGUGUACAAUGUUGUCCUGGUUCUGCUCCUCUCACUCUGCAUCACUUCCUGGAGGUUGUUCCAGUCUCCAUGGAAUUCCUCCACUUUAUUAUUCCUUUUAGCACAAUAGUAUUCUAUCACCAACAUAUACCACAAUUUGUUCAGCCAUUCCCCAAUUGAAGGGCAUCCCCUCAUUUUCCAGUUUUUUGCCACCACAAAUAGCACAGUUAUAAAUAUUUUUUUUGCAAGUCUUUUUCCUUAUUAUCUCUUUGGAGUACAAAUUCAGCAGUGCUAUGGCUGGAUCAAAGGACAGGCCUUUUUUUAAAGCCCUUUGGGCAUAAUUCCAAAUUACCCUCCAGAAUGGAUGGACCAAUACAUUUCUUUCUUUCCACUGCAUUUGUCCACCUGAAAGUGAAUUGGUAGAUCUGCUGACACCACAAAUUCACCAUAACACCCAAGAUGAAGAUGUCAUCAUCAUCAUCUCUCUGUUCAAGGGCUGAAUCAGUCUCUCCUCUCAAGCCAUGAGAGGAAUGUUAAAGAAGCAUAGGCUUUGACCUUAGAAUUCUUCCCUGUUCCAAAAGCUUCAGGGUUGGUGGGACUAAGGGAAGUUAGAUCAGAAAUGAUAGAAAACCUCUGUUCUUCUGGGAAUGUAAAAUUCUUUAACCAUCUCAUUCACUCUGUCAUUGCAGGUGGAUUUUACAUUACUCCCCGUUAUGCUUUUGACACUGAAGCCAAAUUGACUUUCUUGCUAUUCCUAUGUGAGACAUUCCAUCUCUCAACUUUGCAUAGAUUCUCUGGGCCCCUUGCCUGGAAGCUCAGGAGGUUCUUACCCUCUUUGACUCAGAAUCUGGGACUUUUGCCAUUCUUUUCUAUCCUAGUUUAUUGAACUCAUCCUCUGGAUCCCGACACAAGUACUUGCUCUUUGAAGCAUCUCCUCAUCUUCCUUCUGAACUCAAAGUAAUUUCGCCUUUAAGUUUCUCAAAGCAUUGUCUGCAUAGCCCCUCUCCUUGAAUUUCUUUUGUUUUGCUUUGUAUCUAAUUCUUUCUCUGUCUCAAAGCAUACCCACACAGCCCUUCUAUUCAACUUUGAGCUCCCAUCUAAUUUCAUCUUUUUGUUGUAUGUAGUACUUUGUACAUAAAUAUGUAUAGAAUGGAAUUUGACUAUUUCUUAGCUCCUGAAUUACAUUAAUUUUGAGGUCUAUUGCAAUAGUUAGGUGGUACAAUGGACAGUCCUGGGCUUAGAAUCAGGAGGACUCUCCUUUCUGAGUUCAAAUCCAACCUCAGACACUUAUUCUGUAACUUUGGGCAAGUCACUUAAUCCUGUUUACCUUAGUUCUUCAUCUGAGGCAACAAGCUGGAGAAGAAUGUGGCAAACCACUCUUGAAUCUUUGCCAAGAAAACCCCAGAUGGGGUCAGGAAGAGUUGGACACAACUGAAAUGAAUAAACAACAAAGUAAUAUAUAUUGAAUGGAAUUCGACUAGAAUUACAUGAAUUUUGAAAUCUCUUGUUGAUCUAUAAUUGUGCCUCCAGAUUCCCUCUGUAUCUGCACCUCUGAACAUUGCCAGUAGUUCAUGUAGGCCUUCUAAGGAGAGGCCUCUUAAGUAUUAUAGAACCAGCAGUAAAAGUAUUAUUUCAUGCACCAAGUUAUUUUCUUAUAAUAACUGAGGAGAGGACAAGAAGGGCAAGAUUGUCCUUCUGUAGUUUCUAUUUUGUGGGUAUGGUAACUGACUCUGGCAACCUGACCUUGUCAUUGAAUGACUACCAUCCUGACGAAGCAUUAGAAAUGUGGUCGGCAGAAGACCCUUUUUCCACAUGAUGCCCCACAGUCUUUCUGUUCUAAGCAAAAACUGACUGAUAUAAGACCAGUCAUUGAUAGUCUUGACAUUACAAAAGUUAGAUCUGAAAGAUGACAAUCAGCAGCAUUUAGAAAAGGGGGAGGUGAAAAUUACAAAUAGUCAGAAUUAUUUGUUCUGUGAAUUUUAUUCACUUCUGGAUAAGGAAAGGGCUGAGUCAUACAAAUUCCUAGGCACUGCCACCCCUGGCCAGGUAGCAUCCUCUGCUACUGACACUCUUUUCUGCCCUGUUCCUUGCCCUAAGGCUUGAGGGGCCAAUUCACUUCUUCUGUCUCAUGCUUCCUCAGAGUGGAAUACAUGGAAUGGCUGAUGCUGUUCCUCCCUUGAGUGACCCUUCCCUCCUUAAGCCUCAGGUGCCUCACCUAUCAAAUGAGAGGGUUGGAUUAGAUGGUGAUCUCUGAUGCUGCUUCUGACCCCUGAUCUCUGAUCCACUAACAAGUUCAGUAGAACCAGCUGGCACAGAGUCUAGGUCUCACCAUGGAUUGGUUGAUUCUCCCCCCAUGCAUGACCCAUGUCUCAUUUUUUUCAUGCUUUCCUUGGUCUCUAGUGUGGUUUCUUCCUAUAGCUGCUGGAUAAAUGUUUAUUGACUGAGAAGGGAAACAGUAGAUGAGGCUUAAUUACUGUGGUGGUGGAUGUGACAGGUGCAAAUUGCCUUUACCUUUUGUCUUAGUGAAAUUUACAUACACACCCAUGAUGGUGACUAGAGAGACACAGAAUCUUUGCUGGUAGACACCUUAGAGGCUCUUUUGUCCAACAUCACUGGGUCCUUUAAAGAUUUAAUUAUAAAUUAUAUAAAUCAUUGGAAUAAAACUGUCACAGAAUUUAAGACUUUGAUCAUGACUAAAAUUACUAAUAUAUAAUUUCUAUGAUGAUUACUUGGCUAACAGAUUAUUAACAAAAAAGGGACAUAAUAAUCAUUUAUAGUUGAGAACAUAAAAUAUUAAAUGCCUUGUAUCACUUUAAUUCAAGGGGAGGAAGGAUCCCAUACUCAUUCCAUUUUCUACUAGUAAAGAACAUGAUUCUCAUUCAGAUGACCUAGUUAAGUCUGUAAUAUACAUUGUAUGGAUAGGUUCAUCAAGCAAUUAUUAAAUGUCUACUAUAUUCUAAGCACUAUGGCUAGACUGGGGAAUAUAAAGAUUUUAAAAUAUUACUUGUCAGAGUUCACAUUUAUUUAAAAGUUUGUUCUCAAGCCUAUGGACAAAAAUUAGUCAUCAGGAAAAUAAUCCAAACAUAGGGAUUUAUCCAUCUCUCUUCUGUAUUUACCUACCAUUUCUAUGAGGUCAACACUAUAUUUUUAGUCACCUAGAUUCAGAAUCUGAGAUGUUCUUGCUCUUUCCCCUUCUAUCACACCCAAUCAAGUUGCUGCUUCUUAAGAGAUUCUACUUCCCACAAUGUCACUCCUACCUGUCCUCUUCUCCCAGUUACCACAGCAUUUCAGGUCCUUACCUCCUCUCACUGGGCUUUUAUAGUUGCCUUUUGAUUGAUCUCACCUUUCUCCAGUCUGUGGAGAACACCACACAGCUAUUCUCCUAAAGUCCUGAUCUGACUGUGUCCCUCCCUACUCAGCAAAUUUGGAGUCUCUCUUGCCAUUAAGUUUGACUUUAAACUCCUGUCUUUGGUAGUUAUACAGGAUAGGACUCUGUCCUGGACCCUCCUUUCCUUCUAGACUACUUUGCUUGUUGAUUUCAUUCCCCAGGAAUUCAGUUAUCAGCUUCUUAUCAAUGAUUCCUUGAUCUGCCUCUCUACUCACUACCAGUUGUGCAUCUCCAACUGCCUUUCAGAUACUUCAAACUCUAGCUGUCCUGGAGACAUCUUCAACUCAAAAUGUCCAAAAUUGGUUGUCUUUCCCCCUAGACCUCCACCCUUCCAAACUUCUAAAUUAUUGUCAAGGACAGCACUAUCCUCCCAUUCUCCUGAGCUUACAACUGAGGUGUCAUCCUCUGUGCCUCACUAUCUCUUACUAUCUGUAUCUAAUCUGUUAUCAAGUCUCAGGGCCUCUAUCUUUAGAAUAUCUCUCUUAUAUAUCCUCUUUUCAGCACCACCUUGGUGCAGUCUGUCAUUGUCUCAUGCCUGGGUUGUUGCAAUAGUUGCUGGGGUGGCUACCUGCCUCAAGGCUCUUUCCUCACACACUCCAUCUUCCAUUCAGCUUCCAGAGUGAUUUUCCUAAAAUAUGGAUCGGAUCAUGUCACCCUUUAUCAGUAAACUCCACUGGCUUCCUUUUGUCUCCAGGAUCAAAUACAAAAAAACUCUAGAUCACAAGGGGUAAAUAAAACAGUGGAUGGGGGGGGGGGUCAUGAAGACAAAUGAAAAAUGAGUAAAAAUGUAGUUGCCAUUCCCAGCUGUGUGACCCUGGGCAAGUCACUUGACCCCCAUUGCCUAGCCCUUACCACUCUUCUGCCUUGGAGCCAAUACACAGCAUUGAGUCCAAGACAGAAGGUAAGGGUUUUUAAAAAAAAAAUGUAGUUGCCAGCUUACAACAAGGAUUAUCCCAUGAAGAAAAGCAAACUAAAAUUCUCAAAUGAGGUUAAAUAAUUCACACUACACAGGAAUCUUGGAAGAGCAGAAAGAAAUUCUGGAAUGGUUUGAAAGAGAAAUGAAACUUUUUAAAAAGAUAUUUGAAACAAAAUUAGGUUAGAAGUCAGAGCUUUUAACAUAGAUUUAUAGAAGUAUGUUAAAGAAAUAGAAAAAAAAAACCAUUGAACAUCUUUCCAAAAAAAACUCUGAAAAUGGAGCCAAUUAGGGGACAUCAUAAAAGAGGCCAAAAAGAGCAAAAAGGCAAGAAAACCCCAUUAAUUCCAUAGCCUGUGCCUAAAUUAUAUUGAAUUUAGGGUACAGAGAUAUUGAUUAUUAUACAGGGCUCUGACAGAAUCAUAUGAUAUAACAGGAAUCCUAAAAGCCAACUGUAUGGCAGGAAAUAAGUAACAGGUAAAUUGCCAGAAUGUUUGCGUACAGACAAAAUAUUGAUCAAUCAAACUCACAGAAGAAAAACUCCAAGGGAUAUGUUAAAAAACACAGAUCCACAUUUGUAUGACCCAAUAGAAUUGUUUGUUGGUUAGGGGUGGUGGGGGAGAGAGGGGAAGAAGGGAGGGAGAGAAAAUGAAUCAUGCAACCAUGGAAAAAUAUUUAAAAUAAAUAAAAAUUUUAAAAUUAAAAGCACAGAUCCAGUAACAACAAAGCCUGCAGUGAAUGUAAUGGUAUAUUCCUAAAACAAAGGAGCACUAACUGGAAAUACCCCCACCCCCACCCCAAAUGAUGCAUUCUCCAAAGCUGAACUUAAAAACCCAGGAAAGAGAAUCAGUAGACAUUGUGGUGCUAUGGGGAAGCCUAGAAGGAACUGGGGUGAACAGGAGAUUUGACUUGUAAAGGAACUAGUAUCAAUUAAGCACUUUCUGUUUGCCAGGCCCUGUGCUAAGUGCCAGGGGGAUAAAUAAAGGCAAAAGAUAAACACAUGGUGCCCUCAAGGAGCUCCCAUUCUAAUGAGGGAGACAUGCAAUCAGCUUCUGUACAAACAAAAUAUAAAUGGGAUUCAGUGGUGAGAAGGAAUCUCACUAAGAUUAAGGAUGACUGGGAAAUUCUUCUUGCAGAAAGUAAGUUUUCAGCUGAGGCUUUUAAAGGAAACCAAGGAAACUAGGAGACUGAGAUUAGGGGAGAGAGAGAGAGAGAGAGAGAGAGAGCAAAGCAAACCAGGCUCAGAGGACAGCUAGUGCCUUAUGUUAGGAGUUGGGAGGGUGGGCCAUCCUGUGUGGGGAAUGAGAAGUGGCCUAGGAUCACAAGUUUUCAGAAUAUAUGGUAGGAAGAAGUUGUAAAAAGACUGGAAGGGGGAGGGCACAGAUUAGGUUAGGAAGGUCUUUUAAAACCACAUUAAAGGAUUUUGUGUUUGAUUCUAGUAAUACAUAGAAACCAACGAUAGUUUAUAGAGUAAGGAGGGUAUCAUAGUCAGACUUGAACCUUAGGAAACUCUGGACACUGGAAACUCUGGACAGCUGAGUUCAGAUUGGACUGGAGUGGAGAGAGACUUGAGAAGGGAAAUCAAGCAUCAAGCUAUUGUAAUAGUUCAGGUAUGAGGGUAUGAAGGGUCUGCACAAAAAGGCCUUAUCACAAGACAGUGUGUGUGUGUCCUUGCUAACGGUGGCAGAAGAAAAGGUGUAUUUGCUUGUCUCACAAAAGGUGAAUAAGUGCAAUAAUCAAGCAGGUAUUAAUGAAAUGUAUGCUCUUAUGAUUACUGGCCAUUGUUAAAUGAAAUAAAAGCAAAAAAAGUUGAAUUGAGGUGCUAAAGAACAGUUUCUUCAAUUUUUUUUCUGUCGUAUAUCUUUGGCUUUUUAACAUGUUUCUUGGAAAUAACAGAUUGUGGGGUUUUGUUUUCUUAUCCAAUCUGUCACUCUUUUUGUUUUGUUGCAUUGUUUAAUCCAUACACAUUUAAAAUUAUGGGUUAGGUUUGUAUUUUCCUCCACAUAUCUCUUAAGAUUUUUUUCAAGCUAUGGUUUUUCCCCCCUUUUUCUACUGUUAAUAUAAUAUUGUUUUCCUUCAGUUACUUUUGUCUUUUUUUUCCCCUCAGCUCUUUUCCACUUAACCUGAUCAAGUCUUUGCAGUUAUACCCCAUUCCCUUUAGGGUUUUAUUAGUUUCAUUUUCUUUCCUGCUUUUCUAUUUUUUUCCGUUCAGUCAAGUACAUUCCUCUAUCUUCUCCUCCCCCCCAACCCACCCCACUAGCCCUGUUCAUUCAUUUUUUAAUUUCGUUUUGGGGGCCCUUUCCAAAAAGGAUUUCUCUCACUUUCUUCAUUGUCUAUCUUUCUCUUUACUCUAGAUCCUCAUUCUCUGAUUCAAGAACCCUAUAAUCAUCUGGUCUUUCCAGGCUCUGCCUUCUAGGUUCAAUAGGUCUGCUAUUGCCUUGUAGGGCUUGGCCUAUGGGUUCCAGUGCUUCACUCUCAGAACAGUGUUAAUUAUUGAAGGUGUCAGAGAGGACACUUGCUCCAAAAUCAGGCACCUCUACCUGCACUCCCUCUACUAUCUAUACCCUCUUUUGUCGACAUUCCCCACCCCCCAUUACUUAAAUCUCCUUCCUGUGUCCAUAUUCUCCUGUGGAUUCCAACUCCCUACCCCAGGAAUAGUGGAUUUUUCUAGCAUCAAAACCCCCAGACCUCAGACAGUGUAAGUUCUACAUCUUCCUUCACUCGUAAGCAGAAACCCCUCCUGCCUCCACAGAAAGGCCUCCUUCUCCCCAUGCCCCACACAUUUACAUUGUUUCCUCUUUGCUUCUCACCCUCCCUCCCCCACUGUGGUAGACUUUUCUCUUUUUGAGACCACAGAGAUCACUUUCCCACAAUUUCUAAUAAUAGAAAUUUUGACCCCAGCAGAUCAAUCAUUUUCUAUCCACCUGCACUCCCCCCAUCUAACCUCUUAUGUUAUAAUGUGUUAAUACCACAAAAGGCGUAAUUUUCAUCAGUAGGCAGUAUUACCAGUUUCUAGAUUCUAUCCAUAAUGCCUCCAUUUGCCUUUUCAGUAUUCCCUCUUCCAUAUUUUGGCCUUCUUCCCUUUCUGUACACUUAGAAAGAAGUCUCUGUUGCUCUCUGCAUUUAUAAUUUGCUCUUGCAUUUCUGUUCUAUGAGGUACUGAAGCAAAUGAUCUCUUCAGUUCUGGUUUUCUUUCUAAAAUGUUUCAAGUUCUUUAUUACUGAAGGGGUCCAUAUUUCAUGGUUAAACUCAGGAUUGUAGGACUGGUCACCUUAGGCUGCAUUCUGAGCUCCAUUGCUCUUGGGAAAACAUUAUUCCAUCCCCCACCUUCCUUUUUCUAGUGGGUGCAAGCUGGUUUGGCAUCAUUUAAUUACUGUUUCCUUUGUAUUUGAAAGUCAUUCUACUGAUGGGUUGAAAAGCUUGUCUUUUAUUCAAAUUGCUAAAUUCAAUCAAACAUGUGUCUUGAAAUUUGCACCUUUGGUUUUUUGUUUGUUUUCUAUAAAUGAUCUGCAAACUAGCCAUUGGAUUUCAUUUUCUAUGUUCAGAAAUUCCAAACAGUUCUUUUAUUAUUUUCUUCAUUAUAUUAAAGUUUUUUGUCUUGUGUUCUUCAAGGAGGCCUGUGAUUCUUGGAUUGUCUCUAGGCACUCUUGUUUAUGUUUUGCUUGCAUAAUAAGCCUGUUUUCUUUCAAUAUUAUUGGGUUUUGCUUGUUUUCUUCUAUGUUGUCCUUUAUUUUCAUGUAUCUCCAUUCCCAAUCUAUUGUUCUCUUUUUCUUUAAUUAAGUGUGCCAUUAUAAAUUCAGAUUUUUCCAUUCUGAUCUCAUAAUUCUCAUUUGUCUUUUAAGUCACUCAGGAACAGCAUGUUGUAGUUCCCAAGGUCCUCUGUUCUCAUCAAGUAUUAGUUUAUUUUCUCUUAUUUUAUAGUAUUUAUUCAGAGACUUUUGAACUUGAUCUGGAAUUUGUAGGGGGUUUUUUUGUUUGUUUGUUUGUUUUGGUUGUUACUUUGAACUUUGAGAUUUUUUCUUCUUGACACCUGUGGUACUUUCAUUGUGUUGUUCCCCCCCUCCCCCUUAUUACUCAUUUCCUGACUCCCUCCCUUCUGAUUGUGGUUUACAGGAUCUUAAAGCAACUCAGCCUCUGCUUCAAUUUUUAAGUGUCAGAAUUGGCCCCAGAUGGAUGUUGUACUCUUUCCCUCAAUUUUGGUGGAGUGCAGCACAGCCCCUCGAAUGCAUAGUGUACUACUGGCCCAGCACCAACAGUUUAGUCUUUAGCACUUUGCAGUGCUAGAGCUGUGGGGUUGUGGCUCCUGACAAGCUUUUGAUCCUUUAUUGAUAUAAAAAAAACUAGCUGUUGAGACCCAAACAGUGGAAAAGGGCAGGGAGGAGGGGGGUGUGAUCAGAGAGCAAGUUGUCAUGUCCUAGGGCAGUAAUGACAAACCUAUGACACACAGAGUGCUUUCUGUGGACAUAAAGCUGCCCUUACCCCACCUCUCCCCACCCCCAAGAGUUUGUUACUAGAGAAAGGCAGACAGAUUUGGGUGGAGCCUCCUUUCCACCAUGCCUGACAACAUUUUUUCAUAUCCUCUGCCCAGCAAUCCAAUAGGAGCGCUUUCUUCCUCCCCUGUAUGGGGUAGGGGAUCAUCACUGUCCCAGGGUCUACUGGUACAGCCUCUUCUCCUAGGUGUCCCAUACCAUGGAAACAACUCAAGUUGCUUUAUCUUUGGCACACAGUUUCUCUUUUGUAGAGGUUUAGAAGAUUGUAGGGAUUGGGGAAAAUGUCUAGUACACCAUUUUGUUGCUCACAUAAAUCAGUCUCUUUUUUGAAGACAAGAAUAAAAGAAUAGGAAGAAAGUGAGAAGGCAGUUAAAUGAUAGACCCAAACAUUGUCUAUAAGCAAACAAUGAGUGGAUGUUUUUUUUGACCUCUGAAUGGGAGGGGGAGGUAUUGUCAGACAGAACAUCAUAGAAGUGAUGGAGGAUGGGAUAGGAGAAAUGAGAGUAUAAAGGAAUAUAAAGGGAGAAAGGAAAACCUGCUGAAGAACUUAAACAGGAAAGAAAAGGGCUGUGCCUCCACACUGCAUACUGUUUCCUGGAGGAGAAUUUGUGCCAUCAUACUGUAGUCAAGAGAAAUGGCCAAAAGCAGAGGGAAAUAUGAGAUUUAAAGAAGAUGGACCCAGGAGAGGCAGAUGGAACAUUUGGGAAGCUGGCGGGGGAAGGAAGAAUUGAGGAUUCCAUGGAAGAUUCAAAAAGCUGAAACUGUUGGCCAGAGCUGAGUCUGAUCACUCACUCUCUUACCAAAGACUCUGAUAAGAGCUAGGGAGGAGAGUUGCUCAUCUAAUACCCCUUCUACCUGGUUGAGUUGAAGAAGUUCUUGCCCAUUGAAGACACCUGCUGAUUUAAACUCUGAAAGUCAAACCAUUUCUCUGAAGAGACUUUGUGACCAAAGCCUUCAACAGUUGAUAGGGAAAAGAUAUUAGGAACCUCCCAUCUCUUCCCUCUACCCCUCUCUCUCCCUAUCUUUCCUUUCCAAGAAAUAAAUUAGCCAUUUUAGUUUACAGAA